rnacentral:lncRNA from 1 species
GGAUCGAACAUAUACAUCAGAAAGAAGGUGACAAAGAUGGAUAACAUUACCAAUGGUGUCGACCAUAAGUCAUGCUCCAGUUCAUCAAUCAACAGGAAGUUGAGAAACCUUUGAGACCAAGAAAGAUAUGAGUAGAUGGUAAGUCAAGGAUGACAGCAAGCAAAUAGGAACGAAACUGCUCUUUCAUGCUAAAGGGAGGGAUGGGAAAGGCAAAGCAGCUAAAAUAUAAUGUAAUGAAGUAUAUGAUUACAUCGUGAAAGAUCCUCAUUAUGAAC